GCUGCCAUGGCAUCAGAUGAAGGCAAGCUUUUUUUUGGAGGGCUGAGUUUUGACACCAAUGAGCAGUCGCUGGAGCAGGUCUUCUCCAAAUAUGGCCAGAUUGCUGAAGUGGUGGUGGUGAAAGACAGGGAGACCCAGCGAUCGAGGGGCUUUGGGUUUGUCACCUUUGAAAACGUUGACGAUGCCAAGGAUGCCAUGAUGGCUAUGAAUGGAAAGUCAGUGGACGGGUGACAGAUCCGUGUUGACCAGGCUGGCAAGUCUUCCAACAACCGAUCCUGAGGGUACCAAGGUGGCUCUGCUGGCGGUCGGGGUUUCUUCCGAGGGGGCUGAGGCCGGGGCCGUGGGUUCUCCAGAGGGGGAGGGGACCAAGGCUAUGGUGGUGGCCGCUUUGAGUCCCGCAGUGGGGGCUAUGGUGGCUCCAGAGACUACUACAGCAGCCGGAGUCGGGGUGGCGGCUACGGUGACCGGAGCUCAGGGGGGUUCUACAGAGACAGCUACGACAGCUAUGCUACACAAAACGAGUAA